rnacentral:rRNA from 1 species
GACGAACGCUGGCGGCGUGCUUAACACAUGCAAGUCGAGCGGAAAGGCCCUUCGGGGUACUCGAGCGGCGAACGGGUGAGUAACACGUGAGCAACCUGCCCUUGGCUCUGGGAUAAGCCCGGGAAACUGGGUCUAAUACCGGAUACGACCACUCACGGCAUCGUGUGGUGGUGGAAAGUUUUUUCGGCCGAGGUUGGGCUCGCGGCCUAUCAGCUUGUUGGUGGGGUAGUGGCCUACCAAGGCGACGACGGGUAGCCGGCCUGAGAGGGCGACCGGC